AAUUGAAGAAAAAACAAAAAUAAAACCGCGCUUUAAAAGCACGGGUCAAAAUCUAGUUAAUACAAUUAAAACAUAAGCCUUUUUUAACAUAUCUUAAUAUGUUCUAGAUAUUACAGAGAUUCUGACAUUAAUAUUAAAUAUUUUAUUAGACGUAUCUAACCUAUACUAAAAGGGUUAUAUGAGCAUCAGGGAGAGUGUCCACGUAGGACAAUUAAAUCAGCCAAUCAAAAGACUCUUUUUUGACACGUCAUAUAUUCUUUGGUCCACAAAAACGGGUCUUUCAUUUGGGCUAUGGCUGAAACGCGUGAAAUUGUUCUUCCUCUGACGAUUCCUCUUCAUCAUCCCCGAUCAAACUUUCCACAAUUCACCGUUACCAAGCAACUACAUCUACAGGCAUGGAAUCCACUGGCAUGUCUCCCCUCUCCACCGGCAGGUAACUAUUUGUCUUCUUCUUCUUUGAGAAAGUGUUUCACUUUCAUGGCUAUUAUACUGUAUUUAGUGGAGUUUAGGUUCUGCUAUGAUCAUUUGUUUGCGAUUAUGGUUAUAAAAUUUUGAUUUUGUACAUCAAGUCCCAGCUCGGUCUCUGUGACCCCUUUCUCUCACGCUGCUGCUCGAAGUCCUUUACCAGAAUGCAAGGACUGCUUCUUGUGGCUUGUGCAGUCACAGUAGUGGCGUGGCUUGUCUCUGGUCAUUGGGUGUUGAACAAUUUGCUUGGGAUAUCUAUUUGUAUUGCUUUCGUCAGCCAUGUUCGUCUUCCCAAUAUCAAGAUAUGUACUAUGCUCCUCCUGUGUCUGUUUGUGUAUGACAUAUUCUGGGUGUUCUUCUCUGAGAGGUUCUUUGGUGCUAACGUUAUGGUGACCGUGGCGACUCAGCAAGCGUUGAACCCGGUUCAUACAGUAGCCAAUAGUUUGAAUCUUCCUGGACUGGAAUUGAUUACAAAGAAACUGGAGUUGCCUGUUAAAAUAAUGUUUCCAAGGAACCUAUUGGGCGGUGUGGAGCCUGGUGUGAGUGCCUCAGAGUUCAUGAUGCUUGGUCUUGGUGACAUGGUUGCUCUGUAUGUUGGUGGUCUUUAUAUUUGUGGAAAGAUUGGAUGGGAAUCUGUAAUGAAAAUGGGACAAGACACACGAGAACUGUCAAGGAUGAAGAGGACAGUCUAAAGAGGAAGGUAAAGGAGACUAUGGAGAAAGCUUUCUGGGAUAGUGUGAUGGAAUCAAUGAAACUGGAGGAGCCUGGGAUGAGCUUUGCCAGAUGGUGCCUGAUAGCUGGAAAGUGGAAAUAACUGAAACUAUUGAUCUUGACCUUCUCUCACAGUUGCUUAACUCUGGCACCUUGGAUAUUGAUUACCUUGGAAAGAUGCUUGAGUUUGCAUUAGCUACUCUGCGGAAACUCUCGGCUCCAGCUAAUGACCGCGAGAAUGAAAGCACCCACCAGAGUUUACUGGAGGAACUUCACAGGUUGUGUCAAGCUAAAGAUGAGUCUGGUAGCCUCCAUGCUGUUGCAAUUGUCAAGGGGAACCGCUUCAUUCUUGAGCAGAUUCACGUCUGUAUCCGUAAUACUUAUGUGAAUUAUUUUAGAUAAAUAGUUUUUAAUACUAAACAAGUCAUGCUCUUAACUAAAAUAAACUAACUUAAUAUUUAUAUUUAUAAUUUAUUUGAUGAACAUCAAAUUUAUUUGA